rnacentral:rRNA from 1 species
GUCCAUUGCUGUGACUUUAUGAGUAUUAAGUAUUAAAUUAAAUUUAGUAUUUAAGCUUACGCGUAAAUACUCCGCCUGGGGACUACGAUCGCAAGGUUGAAACUCAAAGGAAUUGACAGAGGUUGUUCUCAAACAGUGGAACAUGUGGUUCAAUGCGAUAUAAAACGUCAAUCUUACCAGGAAAUGCAUUAUGAAUAUUUGAAAUGAAAAUUUCAAAAAAUUAAUAAAAAAUAAAUAAUUUAUAACAGGUACUGCAUGGCUGUCGU